rnacentral:lncRNA from 1 species
CGUUCUCCUUCCCUGCUGUACCCAAACGCUGCGGCCGUGUGGGGUCCUGACGCAUCCGGCACAGCCCCCCCCCGGCAAACAGCUCCGUAUCCUCCGCAGAGUCCUCGUGCCACACUUUGAUGAGCCCCGACUGCACGCAGGUAAUGAGCGCCCUUCCAUGGGCGGCGAUCCCACAGAAGUCCCCCUCCCCACCGGGGCAGCUCCGGGCGCUGCUCAGCGUUCCCUUCCUGGUGUCCAAACGCUGCACCGAGCGGUCCGAGCGCCCCAACAGCACCUCUCCCUCGGAGUCCCCCCAGCUCAGCACGCUGACUGCCGCCUCCCGGCCCAGCGCGGGGCCUACGCCGUAAUUCACCGCCUCCUUCCGCCGCAGGUUCACCGCUUUCAGCGCUCCGCUCUCAGCCCCGACCCAAACGUGGUACUGCCGCG